GACGAACGCUGGCGGCGUGCUUAACACAUGCAAGUCGAACGGAAAGGCCCUGCUUUUGUGGGGUGCUCGAGUGGCGAACGGGUGAGUAACACGUGAGUAACCUGCCCUUGACUUUGGGAUAACUUCAGGAAACUGGGGCUAAUACCGGAUAGGAGCUCCUGCUGCAUGGUGGGGGUUGGAAAGUUUCGGCGGUUGGGGAUGGACUCGCGGCUUAUCAGCUUGUUGGUGGGGUAGUGGCUUACCAAGGCUUUGACGGGUAGCCGGCCUGGGAGGGUGACCGGCCACAUUGGGACUGCGAUACGGCCCAGACUCCUACGGGAGGCAGCAGGGGGGAAUAUUGCCCAAUGGGCGGAAGCCUGAUGCAGCAACGCCGCGUGCGGGAUGACGGCCUUCGGGUUGUAAACCGCUUUCGCCUGUGACGAAGCGUGAGUGACGGUAAUGGGUAAAGAAGCACCGGCUAACUACGUG
rnacentral:rRNA from 1 species